rnacentral:rRNA from 1 species
UACGAGGGGGGCGAGCGUUGUUCGGAAUUAUUGGGCGUAAAGGGUGCGUAGGCGGCCUGACAAGUCUGAUGUGAAAUCCCUGGGCUCAACCCAGGGCCUGCAUCGGAAACUGUCGGGCUUGAGUAUGGGAGAGGUGAGUGGAAUUUCCGGUGUAGCGGUGAAAUGCGUAGAUAUCGGAAGGAACGCCGGUGGCGAAAGCGACGUGCUGGACCCUUUCUGACGCUGAGGCGCGAAAGCCAGGGGAGCAAACGGG